rnacentral:rRNA from 1 species
GGUAUUUUGACCGUGCAAAGGUAGCAUAAUCAUUAGUUUUUUAAUUGAAAGCUGGAAUGAAAGGUUGGAUGAGAAAAAAGCUGUCUCUAUUUAAUUUAUUUAGAAUUUUAUUUUUAAGUUAAAAAGCUUAAAUUUAGAUAAAAGACGAGAAGACCCUAUAGAGUUUUAUUAGUUUUUUUUAUAGAGUUAAUGGUAUUUUUUGUCUUUAUAGGAAAAAUCAAUUUAGUUGGGGUGAUUGAAAAAUUGAAUUAACUUUUUUUUUAUAUUUACAUUAAUAAAUGGUUAUUUGAUCCUUAAUUUAAGAUUAAAAGAUAAAAUUACCUUAGGGAUAACAGCGUAAUUUUUUUUGAGAGUUCAAAUCGAAAGAAAAGAUUGCGACCUCGAUGUUGGAUUAAAAUAAAAUUUUGGUGUAGAAGCUAAAA